AGUGAACGCUGGCGGUAGGCCUGACACAUGCAAGUCGAACGGCAGCACAGUAAGAGCUUGCUCUUACGGGUGGCGAGUGGCGGACGGGUGAGGAAUACAUCGGAAUCUACUUUUUCGUGGGGGAUAACGUAGGGAAACUUACGCUAAUACCGCAUACGACCUACGGGUGAAAGCAGGGGAUCUUCGGACCUUGCGCGAUUGAAUGAGCCGAUGUCGGAUUAGCUAGUUGGCGGGGUAAAGGCCCACCAAGGCGACGAUCCGUAGCUGGUCUGAGAGGAUGAUCAGCCACACUGGAACUGAGACACGGUCCAGACUCCUACGGGAGGCAGCAGUGGGGAAUAUUGGACAAUGGGCGCAAGCCUGAUCCAGCCAUACCGCGUGGGUGAAGAAGGCCUUCGGGUUGUAAAGCCCUUUUGUUGGGAAAGAAAAGCAGCAGGUUAAUACCCCACUGUUCUGACGGUACCCAAAGAAUAAGCACCGGCUAACUUCGUG
rnacentral:rRNA from 1 species